CUUCCCGCCCCGCUCCCGGCGCCGCUGCCGCUUCGGAGCUCGCCGGAGGGAUGAGGACCGCGGCGCUAUGGCGCUGCCUGGCUCCGGUCCUCCCCGCCGCUCUGCCGCCGAGCCGCGGGUUGUGCGGGCGGCAAUCGCGGGGCGGCGGCGCGGUGGCGGCAGCGCGCAAAAUCACCGAGAAUGCAAAGAAAUCUUUGGCCUCUCUUAAGAGAGAAAACCCUCGGCUUGAGCCAACGCUUGCCAUUAUUCAGGCACAUAAUGAUCAUUUGAUUCAAGAAAUAAACCAGAAGUUUGCCGAAGAGGUUGGUCUACGUGUUAUUCACAUCUGUCUCCCUGAAGGCACCAGCAAGGAUGAGAUUGUCGAUGAAAUCUUGAGACUUAACGAGGAUCCUAAUGUGCAGGGCCUUGCCCUUGACCUUCCAGAAAGCUUAUACAGCAGUAAGGUAUUAAAUGCUGUGAAACCAGAGAAGGAUGUGGAUGGAUUAUCUGAUGCGAACCUGGGACGCUUGGUACGUGGCGAUGCCUAUGACUGUCUAGUUCCUCCUACAGCAUGUGCUGUGAUGGAGCUUCUUGAAGAUUUAGGUGGGAAGACGGUGCUGCUGGUGGGAGCCAGCGGGGCGACGGGCGCUGCCUUGCAGUGCAUGCUGCAGAGGGAGGGAGCGGCAACCCUGAGCUGCUGGUGGAAAGCCCCUCAGCUGCAGACCAAGCUUCAUCAUGCAGAUGUGGUGGUAGUUGGCAGUACAAAACCCGAUGAUGUUCCUCUGAGCUGGAUAAAGCCUGGAACCACCAUUAUCAGUUGCUCCCGUGACUUGCUGUCAGAGAAACACAACCGUGGUCAGGAAAACAACCAUGCUGCUGAAAACACUGUUGGUUCUCUUGCAAUAGCAAUGCGAAUGCAGAACAUGGUGAAAAACAUGGAGCGAUGGAUCCGGUCCCAGCAGCACAGGAAGUGGGACCUCCGCUGCUUGAAACUGCAGCCCCUCUCCCCAGUGCCCAGUGAUAUUGAGAUUUCCCGAGCACAGAGUCCAAAAGCAGUUGAUGUACUUGCCAAGGAGAUAGGAUUGCUUACAGAUGAAAUAGAGAUCUAUGGCCAAACCAAAGCCAAAGUACGUUUGUCCCUGCUGGAAAGGUUAAAGGAUCAACCAGAUGGAAAAUAUGUUCUAGUUGCCGGAAUAACCCCUACACCCCUAGGAGAGGGAAAAAGCACAGUCACAAUUGGUCUCGUUCAGGCGCUUACUGCACACCUUAACAUUAAUUCCUUUGCUUGUCUGAGACAACCUUCCCAAGGACCUACUUUUGGAGUUAAAGGUGGAGCAGCCGGCGGUGGAUAUGCUCAAGUGAUUCCCAUGGAGGAGUUCAAUCUUCAUUUAACUGGAGAUAUUCAUGCUAUAACUGCUGCAAAUAAUUUGCUGGCUGCUGCUAUUGAUGCCAGGAUCUUGCAUGAGAACACUCAGUCUGAUAAGGCUUUGUAUAAUAGACUGGUUCCAGUAGUUAAUGGCGUGAGAGGAUUUUCUGCUAUUCAGCUUGCCCGUCUGAGAAGGCUGGGAAUAAACAAGACUGAUCCUGAGACUUUUACAGAAGAUGAGAUCAGCAAAUUUGUGCGCCUAGAUAUUGACCCAUCUACCAUAACAUGGCAAAGAGUGGUGGAUACAAAUGACAGAUUCCUGCGCAAAAUAACAGUUGGGCAGGCAAAUACAGAGAAAGGAUUUGUCCGUCAGGCUCAGUUUGAUAUUGCUGUUGCAAGUGAAAUUAUGGCCAUCCUGGCACUUACCACCAGCCUGCAAGAUAUGAAGGAGAGACUGGGGAAAAUGGUGGUGGCCAAUGACAAGAAAGGAGAACCAGUAACAGCGGAGGAUUUGGGAGUAACAGGUGCUUUGGCAGUUUUGAUGAAAGAUGCAAUUAAGCCAACACUAAUGCAAACGUUAGAGGGAACACCAGUAUUUGUUCACGCUGGACCUUUUGCUAAUAUUGCACAUGGAAAUUCUUCUGUUUUGGCAGAUAAAAUUGCCCUUAAAUUAGUUGGAGAGAAAGGAUUUGUAGUAACUGAAGCUGGGUUUGGUGCUGACAUUGGGAUGGAGAAAUUCUUCAACAUCAAAUGCAGAGCCUCUGGCUUGGUUCCCAGUGUGGUUGUGCUCGUUGCUACAGUGAGAGCUUUGAAGAUGCAUGGUGGUGGGCCAAAUGUAACUGCUGGUGCCCCCUUGAAGAAAGAAUACACAGAAGAGAACCUCCAGCUGGUAGCUGAUGGCUGCUGUAACCUACAGAAACAGAUUCAAAUUACUCAGCUCUUUGGAGUUCCUGUUGUGGUUGCUCUAAACGUCUUCAAAACUGACUCUCCUGCUGAGAUUGAUCUGGUGUGUAAGAUUGCGAAGCAGUCUGGAGCAUUUGAUGCUGUACCCUGCAAUCACUGGUCGGCUGGUGGUAGAGGAGCAGUAAAAUUAGCUCAAGCUGUGGAAAAGGCAGCCAAUCAGAAAAACAGUUUCAAAUAUCUCUACAGCUUGGAGCUUCCUAUUGUUGAAAAAAUAAGGAUUAUUGCUCAGAAGGUGUAUGGAGCUCAGGAUAUAGAGCUGUCUCCCGCUGCGCAGUCACAAGUCGAUCGUUACACCCGGCAGGGAUUUGGAAAUCUUCCCAUUUGUAUGGCAAAAACUCACCUGUCCCUCUCCCAUCAGCCUGAGAGGAAGGGCGUUCCCACUGGUUUCAUUUUGCCGAUUAGUGAUGUGCGAGCCAGUAUUGGAGCUGGAUUCAUCUACCCUUUAGUAGGAACGGAGGAAGAACCAAGGUGGCAUUGCAGCCCAGAAGCUGGCAUUCCUAAGAGCUGGUGAAGGUUUGUUCUGCCACUGAGGUUGAACAGAAGCGCAAGCACUGUGCAAGCAGCUCUGCAUUUUACCAGCUGAAUUGAAGUCACCCAGGAAUAGAAGGAGAAGCUGUGAUUAAAAGCCCUGGAUGAGCACCAUGCCAGGACUGCCCACGAGACCAUGCUUCUAUGACAUUGACCUCGACCCCGUCACAGAGCAAGUGAAAGGAUUGUUUUGAGAGUGACGUCCAAAUUCAGAAGCCUGGAAAUUAAGAACUGCAACUUUCCUGUUUCCUGCGAGUAGGAGACAAAAAUGAAUCUGAAAUAUUCCUGUUAUGUGUCUCUGGAGUAAUGUCAAGAUAGUCCAAAGAGCAAAAGUUUACUCUUUCUUCAAACUACUUUUUAUAAUGAAAUAUAGCUAUAAGGUUAAAAAAAAAAAAAAAAAAGGAAGCUGAAGUUUUUCUUGCUAUAGUGCAGGAAGCUCUCUACUGGGGCUUAUGCUUGUUUGUGGAUAAAACAGCGUUGGAAAAGAGGGAAAUUUUUCACCUUACAUUUUUUUGUCUUUUCUCAAAGGAGUUUACAGAAGUAUUUUCCAUAUUGUGGCCAUCUAAAAACUUGCAUAAACAUGCUAAUACUGUGUGAUCAAACCUAUUUCUCUCUGAAAAAUACACUUUCGCUCCUGGCAUUCAGGAGCUGAAACUACACACAGAUUAACUGCACAUUUUUGAGUUAUCAUCAAGCGUUGCUCUGGAUGCAUUUGAACAACAGCCAAGCUUCAAGCAAGGAAGAUAUGAAGCAGAGAAAGAACAGAGCAUGUAUUUUGUAAAAGGUUUUUAAAAUAUAAUUUGUUUCCCUGUUGGGCAAAGAUCUUUUGAAACACUUAAGCCAUAGCUGUCUCAUAUCCAUAGGUCUCUGUUUAUCCAAAGCGUAUGUUAGAGGCUCUCCAGCUGAUAAUGUGCUUGUUGUGGUGAAGCUGGUUGUUCAGAGAGGGCACUGCGCCUUCUGAAGCCUUGUUUUCCUCCUGCUCAUGGCUAAUGAAGCCUCCUGCUGUGCUGGCUGCCGACCGAGAGUUUUUCUUGUCCUGUCCCUGGCAGUACACAACGCCCAGUAACAACAGAGGAAUGUCCGUCAAGCAAGGAUGCGACAGAGCAGAGCUUUGUUCGGCUUCGUUUUUACAAAACUUGUAGAAGUGGAGUGUGUUUGCUGUCUGAAGGGGGUAUUCAGACAAGUUACAUCCCAAAACGUGUGCUUUAAUUUACCUCGGCAACUUACCUUGUCCGUUUUUUCCUAAAUCUGCAGCAAAACAAGCCUUAGGCACAGGACACUGCAUUUAGCUUUUCAAGCUGCUGCUCCUCCUCAGGAAACUCUUGCUGACUGACUGUUGGUUCCUUCAAUAACAAAAAAAUGCAACAGAACAAUAGGUUGAAUCGAGACAAUAGGCUAUUGUAUUUUUAGGUAAAAAGCAGUGAAAUAAUGAUGAGAGAGUUUAUUUUCCUGGUGACGUUUUUCCAUCCUGUCGCUUUGCUCUGCUUACGCACAUCUGUAUGUUAUGGGCCUCUGCAAUGUAGUUUUGGUUGCCUUCUGCACAGCCACAUUUGGAGACUUAAUUAUCUCAGGACCUGUGUUGUAAUUGAGGGGUUUGUUUUGGGUUUUAAAAUCAUGCUACGUUAUUUAUAAACUCAAAACUAUAAUUACGGACAGAAAACUGGGGACAAUUAAAAUAAUUAUCCGUGCCUUCCCUGUAGUAGCACGGAAAUAUCUGUUGACUGCAUUUCAGAACUGUUCUAUUCAUGGCAUGGUCCCCCAGCACCAUGGGGAUUGCUGUGAAGAUAAACAUAAAAAAUAGAGCAAGUUGAUAUUUUAGCCUGAUUAGACGAUAGAGCUCAUAACAGCCUAGACUGGAGCUGCUUUAAUUACACUGGGGCAGGACAAACAUGAUCAGUAGAAAGCAGGAUUCAAGCGUCGCUCUCACACUGGGGAGAGAGAUUUCUCAUACUUGUCUAUUAAGUUGUGCCCCAAAAUACAACCACGUUGUUCGUAUAUAUAACUGUGUUGUAACUUAGUCCUGCACACGCUGAGCGAUCUAGCCUAGAAAAAUCCAAAGACUUACAGAAGAAAAUAAGUGUGGUUUCCAGCCAUAGUUUUCCUAGUAGCAUUCUUUCAAGAAAAAUAAAUGAGGUUUUUUCCUCCAUCUUUCCUGGAGAAGUUUGGAAAACCAUAACCGUGCCUUACUUGCGGUCACUGUGUUUGCGUUGGACCUGCCUGUCCAGUGUGGGAUACUAAACAUGGCAGCAGCUGUCUGCCCGUGAAGCUCCCACAUGGGAUAUGGGUGCCUGAGCAACAGGUUUGAUAAGUAAUUUCAAACUACUGCUUGAUACCCAUGCACUUUCUGUAUUGUCCCUUCAGCCCACGUGCGCUGGGACUGUUUAUCUGACCCAUCGGUCUUUCCCUAAAACACCAUUCCAGCUCAGUUAGUUGAGAGCUGACAAACAUCCUGUAAUUUUUUUCUACUGUCAUGUGCACAGGAUUUGUUAUAUUGUUUUGAUAGCUUCAAUAAUUCAAGGAAAGCUGGAAUGACCCUCUCUUGUUUUGUCAUAGCUUCCCCCUCCCCUCCAUCUGGUUAACUAGCUGCAAAAUCCCUUGAGCAAUUACAUUUUUGGUUCUUUCAGUUCAUUUCUAGUAGAAAAUUUGUUAAAAAUAAUCUAUGUUGGCAUGCAGAUGCUGUCUCAUAAUCCAAAGGGACUGAGUUAUUGGCCAUCAGUUGAGCUGCAGAAACUGCCAAAUGCCUUAAUCCAGAAGGGUUUAAAAUGAAAUAUUGAAAAGGCAAGUGUUAUUGCUGGGUGUGUCGCUUGUUGCUAUGCAGAUGCGAUUGCAGGUGAGGGACUCCUGGCUUUGCAUCUGCUCUGAGCAGUUUUGUGACACGGCAGCUUUACAAGGCGGCUUGCCCUGCGUAUCCCUGCGUUUGCUAAAACAUGUUGAGAACCACGCCGUUGCUUAUUAUCAGAAGAUCUGCUUUUUGUAGUGACUGAAUACUUUGUUAUUGCUACUGCUGAACUACAGAAAAACUAGUGACAUUGAAAUACAUCAGACUACAUACAAUGGGUUUCUUUGUAUUUUGAAAUUCAAAAUCGCAGAAUUUCAGUUGCCAUGAACAUGAAAAUAAAGUUAUGUGUGUACUGAUGUUCAUUUUGC